GAUGAACGCUGGCGGCGUGCCUAAUACAUGCAAGUCGAGCGAACAGACGAGGAGCUUGCUCCUCUGACGUGAGCGGCGGACGGGUGAGUAACACGUGGAUAACCUACCUAUAAGACUGGGAUAACUUCGGGAAACCGGAGCUAAUACCGGAUGAUAUAUUGAAGCGCAGGGGUCAAUGGUGAAAGACGGUGUUGCUGUCACGUAUAGAUGGAUCCGGGCCGCAUGAGCUGGUUGGUCAGGUAACGGGCUACGAAGGGAACGAUGCGUAUCCGAGCGCAGAGAGGGAUAGGCCACCUGGGAAGUUAGACGCGCACCAUACUACUACGGUAGGCACCAGUAGGGAACCGUCCGCAAUGGGCGAAAGCCUGACGCAGCAACGCCGAGUGAGUUACGAAGGUCUUCCGAUCGUAAAAACCUGCUAUGAGUGAAGAACCACUGUCUAAGUAAAUAUGCCCGUCUUGACGGUAACGAAUCAGAAAGCCCCGGCUAACUACGUG
rnacentral:rRNA from 1 species